GAUGAAGAACGUAGCGAAAUGCGAUAAGUAAUGUGAAUUGCAGAAUUCAGUGAAUCAUCGAAUCUUUGAACGCACAUUGCGCCCUCUGGUAUUCCGGGGGGCAUGCCUGUUCGAGCGUCAUUAUAACCACUCAAGCUCUCGCUUGGUAUUGGGGUUCGCGGUUUCGCGGCCCCUAAAAUCAGUGGCGGUGCCUGUCGGCUCUACGCGUAGUAAUACUCCUCGCGAUUGAGUCCGGUAGGUCUACUUGCCAGCAACCCCUAAUUUUUUAAGGUUGACCUCGGAUCAGGUAGGGAUACCCGCUGAACUUAAGCAUAUCAAUAAGCGGAGGA
rnacentral:misc_RNA from 1 species